CUGGAAGGGGGCGGGGCUGCCGCCUCCCAGGUCCUUGAGAUCAUUUUCCGGGAAAAUGCAACUCUGGUCUCCGAAGGACCUGAGCGGACCACCUCCUGACUGUUCAGUUGGCUUCCCAGGGCGGACUUCCGGCAAAGCCCCCAUGGCGGAGCAAGUCCAACACGGACCUCCUUUCCGCCUCGCCUGGCUUGGGGGAUUGAAGGACCUGGACAGAAGCCUGGAACCCUCAAUGUCCGCCACUGACCCUGGCGGUUGACUGGAAUGUCGUCGGUGGUAAUAGCUUAGGAAUUGCUGGCCUGUCUUAGAUUCCUCGACUUAUUAUCCUAGGCCUUUUACACAAAUCGCAGACUUAAAAUAGUUGCAGUAAUAGGAUUUAUUGAGUACAAGUGAAGCAAUCCACUAGGCUUUUUUUUUUUUAAGUGGCAUUUAAUCUUUGGGGCAGUCUAAUCAGAUAAGAGGUAUCUGAGGGGACCAGAAGAUGGUGUCACCCUCCGGAGCUGGAGUUACAGGCAAUUAUGUGUUACCUGACAUCAUGGGUGCUGUAUACUGAACUCAGUUACUCUAAAAGAGUAGUAAGUGCUCUUUUUUUUUUUUUGGUUCUUUUUUUCGGAGCUGGGGACCGAACCUAGAUUAUGAAAUCUAGAGCAGGAAACUCUAGAAUUAAUUUUUUGCAGCCCUACACAGAGAGAGGAGUCAGUGUGGAAUGUUCUUCAAACACUGGAUCCCUGCAAGGUGUAACACAUGACUUCUGAGUUUCCAGAAAACGUCAUUUGCGAAACCAGGAUGCUGCAACCACAUAUCUUAUUGAAAGAGUUCUUUCGGACCCAAAAGCUAACAAAGUGGAGGGAACCAGAGGCUUUUCCGGGCCUGGUAACAUCUCCUGGCUAUGUCUUCCAGAUUGCCCCAGAGAAUCUCAGGCAUCUCUUGGGACAGAGAAGAAACCCUUAAAGCAUCUUUUUGGCAACUGAGAAAAUCUCAGUCCUGUGGCCCCAGGACAUCUUCAGUGGGCUUAAGGUGAGCUGGAGGUAAACCUGAGACUCACUUUUCAACCUGGGACACUAUAUAUAUAUAAAACCUGCUUGGCUGGUGACAGACCGUGUUUCGUGAUUUCCAGAGCCUUUACAGACCUCAGAGAGCUCAGCAAUCAGGUAUUAAAAACUAGUUGCAGUUGUAAAACUGCACUCACGGGGUUGGGGAUUUGGCUCAGUGGUAGAGCGCUUGCCUAGCAAGCACAAGGCCCUGGGUUCGGUCCCCAGCUCCGGAAAAAAAAAAAAAAAAGACUGCACUCACUAGAAAGUUCCUAGGUUUAGCCUGUUCCUUCUUCUGCUUGGCUGCGGACUGGACUCCUGAGUAUGUACAGCUGGUUCUCAAUUUACCAUGGUUUCACCAACAGUCGUGGGCUUACAGGAAUACUAAAUGCCUUUUUUGGACUCAGGUCACUUCAAGGCCAGCCUUGGCUGCAUAGUAAGUUUGAGGUCAGCCUAGACUACAUGAGACCCUGUCUUAAAAAAAAGACAAACAGGACUGAAAAGAUGGCUCUGUGGUUAAGAGCACAGACUGCUCUUCCAGAGGUCAUGGGUUCAAUUCCCAGCAACCACAUGAUGACUCACAACUAUCUGUGAUGGGAUCCGAUGCCCUCUUCUGGUGUGUCUGAAAACAGAUACGGUGUACUCAUAUUCAUAAAUAAAUAAAUAAAUCUUUAAAAAACAAAGUCUGGCAGUGAUGGCAUGUGCCUUUAAUCCCAGCACUUGGAAGUCAAAGGCAAGUGGAUUACUGUGAGUUUGAGGCCAGCCUGGUCUAGAGAGUGAGUUCCAGGGCAUCCAGGGAGACUCUGUCUGCAAAACAAACAACAAAAACCAACCAACCAAAAACCAAACAGUAAGCCAGG
ensembl:lncRNA